rnacentral:rRNA from 1 species
AUUGAACGCUGGCGGCAUGCUUUACACAUGCAAGUCGAACGGGCUUGGGGGCUUGCUCCCAAGUUAGUGGCGAACGGGUGAGUAAUACAUCGGAACGUACCGUGUAGUGGGGGGUAACGUAGCGAAAGUUACGCUAAUACCGCAUACAAUCUACGGAUGAAAGCAGGGGACCUUCGGGCCUUGUGCUAUACGAGCGGCCGAUGUCUGAUUAGCUAGUUGGUGAGGUAAAGGCUCACCAAGGCGACGAUCAGUAGCGGGUCUGAGAGGAUGAUCCGCCACACUGGGACUGAGACACGGCCCAGACUCCUACGGAGGCAGCAGUGGGGAAUUUUGGACAAUGGGCGAAAGCCUGAUCCAGCCAUGCCGCGUGUCUGAAGAAGGCCUUC